GUGCUUAACACAUGCAAGUCGAACGGUAAGGCCCUUCGGGGUACACGAGUGGCGAACGGGUGAGUAACACGUGGGUAAUCUGCCCUGCACUUUGGGAUAAGCCUGGGAAACUGGGUCUAAUACCGAAUAGGACCACGGGAUGCAUGUCCUGUGGUGGAAAGCUUUUGCGGUGUGGGAUGGGCCCGCGGCCUAUCAGCUUGUUGGUGGGGUGAUGGCCUACCAAGGCGACGACGGGUAGCCGGCCUGAGAGGGUGUCCGGCCACACUGGGACUGAGAUACGGCCCAGACUCCUACGGGAGGCAGCAGUGGGGAAUAUUGCACAAUGGGCGCAAGCCUGAUGCAGCGACGCCGCGUGGGGGAUGACGGCCUUCGGGUUGUAAACCUCUUUCACCAUCGACGAAGGUCCGGGUUUUCUCGGGCUGACGGUAGGUGGAGAAGAAGCACCGGCCAACUACGUGCCAGCAGCCGCGGUAAUACGUAGGGUGCGAGCGUUGUCCGGAAUUACUGGGCGUAAAGAGCUCGUAGGUGGUUUGUCGCGUUGUUCGUGAAAU
rnacentral:rRNA from 1 species